GACGAACGCUGGCGGCGUGCUUAACACAUGCAAGUCGAGCGGAGCGGAGAAAGGGUGAGUAAAGCGUGAAUAACUGCCCCCCGCUCGGGGAUAACAGUUGGAAACGGCUGCUAAUACCGGAUAGUGGGGGAUGACUCGCGUCCUAUCAGCUUGUGGGUGAGGUGGUGGCCUACCAAGGCGACGACGGGUAGCCGGCCUGAGAGGGCGAGCGGCCAACUUAGGAUGAGAUACGGCCCGAACUCCGUCGGGAGGGAGCCGUCGGGAACAAUGCGCAAUGGGGUGAAACCUGAUGCAGCGGUGCCGCGUGGGGGAUGUAGGCUUUCGGGUUUUAAACCUCUCCUUGCAAGGCUCGGGUAGGUGGAGAAGAAGCGCCGGCUAACUACGUGCCAGCAGCCGCGGUAAUAC
rnacentral:rRNA from 1 species